UUCGCGACUGUUAGUACUAUCAAGAUGGGAGCUAUAACUGUGUGUUUGUUGAUUAUCUGUUGCCCUCUAGUUUGCUUUGGACGGCAAGUUAAGAUCCCAGUCGGCAUGUCAAUAGCUGACUUUAACGAUAAGGUUGUGGCGAAAUUCCAACGACAAGUCUACUGGGCAGUACCUCUAAUAAAUGGUACACCCGAGUUUUUUCCUGAUCUAGGCUACCAGCUUAAAAUCAAACAACUGGAAGAACAGAACAGAUACCUAUUAACCGCAAUCGGUGAUGUCGCGGAUGGAUAUUCUGUCGCACUGCAAAAUUGUAAGACAAGUUCUUUCUACUUUGAAAAUGUUGCGUAUGAUGGUACAAUCCUGCUCAACAAUAAUGUCGGAACUACCAAUCGCUAUGUUGUCUUCUGGUCAUCCGACGUAGAUCACUACACAUUGAUGCUACGAUGUUUAAAGGAAGGCAUAUCAGAACCAAGGACGUGCAAGGUAGAUACACGGCAAUAAGUCUGUUCGUACCAGACACACUCGACAAUCUAAAAUGGAGCAUAGUAUUGAAAGACCUUGAGGAGACCGAUGUUGAGUUUGGUGACGAACGUUAUGAAUGGUUUUUCAAUUUCAACUAUGGGAAAAGCAUGUGUGUUGACGUGUGAUGACUGUUCAGAUUGUUUGCGGCACGGAACAAUGUCAUCUGAUUAGACAAGUGUCAUCAAUUUUAUUUGCACUUUUAAUAUUUGCUUGUGUUUGAGCCUGUUUGUGCCCUCCGUUUAACAUAAAACAAUAUUUAUGAAUCUUGACAAAACAACACCACCACCAUCACCACCACCACCAACAACAACAAAAACAAUAACAACAAAAAAUCCAUCAUUCAGUCACAGGGUGUACCUUUUAAACAGAAACUUUUAAAGUAUGUUUUUAAAUAAAGUUUCUUUUAUCUCCUGCGUUGCCGGGUUUUUUUAUUUGAAAGGAAUGAAAGCUAGAUAUAUAGAUUUUUCAAUGCUCUUUUACCACCCAUAAGCAGGAUAACUGUAUGUGUUUUGGAUUUGGUUCCCGCUUGCAGUGUUUGCUGCACGAUGCUACAGGGAUGUUCGCCUUAGUGGUGAAUAAACUCACGGUUGUUCUUCUUACAUUGUUUACUUUUAUUAUAUUUCUCAAGGUCAUAAAGUAUUACAA